GAAAUCCACCCCAUCUCUCACCAGUGGCAGCACUUGGGAAAGCGGGUUCUGCACCUCACCCAGUCAGCACAGUGAAGCCAGUCCUCGCAGCAGCAGUGUAGGUAGACAGCCCUAAGUGUGUGAGUAUGAGAGAGUGGACCCUACCACAGAGGUGAUGUGUUCCCACUGCCCCUUGCUAUCUUUGGCAAUCAGGAAAGUUGCCCACCGGGUCAUAAACUCAGGAGAGCUCUCCUUGUCCUUCAGCAGCUGCAGCACUCAGGAGAGCAGACCCUGCACCUUGCCUGGAUAGCACAGCAGACUGGGGCUGACUGAGGGUGCAGCACAUGGAGAGUGAACCCUACAUCUCUCCUGGGAAGCACUGUAUAGCUGGCCCUGGUGAAGAGGUGGCAGCUGAGCUGGUCCUGAGGAUCAUGGGAAAGUUGGCUCUGCCAGCCUGUCAUGAGAUGAGCAACACAGUGGAGGUGGUCGUGAUGUUGAAGGCAUGAGUAAGCCAUCCCCGAGGGUGGUGAGAGCAGGAGGGCUGGCCUAGCCCCUCACAGGCUGCAGCACUUGGGAGAGUGGGCCCUGCCUCUUGACUAAGCAGCACCGUGGACCUGCCUCUGGAGGCAGGGGUGCAGGUAGGCUGGCCCUGAGGUCAUGAGAGUGGGAGAGCUGACCCUGCCUCCCACUGAUUGCAGCACUGGGUGGCCUACCUGGAGAAGUGCUGGAGAGCUUAUCCUGGCAAUGCAGUUAAGGGAGAGCCAGCAGGCUGACAAGCUCAGCUGCUACCCAGGCUCAGAUCCAGGGCUUUGAAUUGGCCUGCUCCAAAAUCUGUAUUAUCUGUGAAUGUGUUGGGAUGUGUGAAAGGGUCAGUCUUGCUGUUCCAAAGCUGCAUGACCUCCAUGCCACAGGACAACAACGGGAUGGUGGAGAGC
rnacentral:sRNA from 1 species